AGUGAACGCUGGCGGCAGGCCUAACACAUGCAAGUCGAGCGGCAGCGGGUCCUUCGGGAUGCCAGCGAGCGGCGGACGGGUGAGGAAUGCGUCGGAAUCUGCCUUUUUGUGGGGGAUAACGUAGGGAAACUUACGCUAAUACCGCAUACGACCUACGGGUGAAAGUGGGGGACCGCAAGGCCUCACGCAGAAAGAUGAGCCGACGUCGGAUUAGCUAGUUGGCGGGGUAAAGGCCCACCAAGGCGACGAUCCGUAGCUGGUCUGAGAGGAUGAUCAGCCACACUGGAACUGAGACACGGUCCAGACUCCUACGGGAGGCAGCAGUGGGGAAUAUUGGACAAUGGGCGCAAGCCUGAUCCAGCCAUGCCGCGUGUGUGAAGAAGGCCUUCGGGUUGUAAAGCACUUUUGUCCGGAAAGAAAUCCUGUCGGCUAAUACCCGGCGGGGAUGACGGUACCGGAAGAAUAAGCACCGGCUAACUUCGUG
rnacentral:rRNA from 1 species